GACGAACGCUGGCGGCAUGCCUAAUACAUGCAAGUCGAGCGAACAGAUGAAGUGCUUGCACUUCUGACGUUAGCGGCGAACGGGUGAGUAACACGUAAGGAAUCUACCUAUAAGCGGGGGAUAACAUUCGGAAACGGGUGCUAAUACCGCAUAAUAUUUUCUUCCGCAUGGAAGAAAAUUGAAAGCAGGCUCUGCUGUCACUUAUAGAUGACGUUGCGGUGGAUUAGUUAGUUGGUGGGGUAACGGCCUACCAAGACGAUGGUGCAUAGCCGACCUGAUGGGGUGAUCGGCAACAUUGGGACUGAGACACGGCCCAAACUCCUACGGGAGGCAGCAGUAGGGAAUCUUCCGCAAUGGGCGAAAGCCUGACGGAGCAAUGCCGCGUGAGUGAAGAAGGCCUUCGGGUCGUAAAACUCUGUUAUAAGAGAAGAACAAAUUGUAGAGCAACUGCUACAGUCUUGACGGUAUCUUAUCAGAAAGCCACGGCUAACUACGUGCCAGCAGCAGCCGCCG
rnacentral:rRNA from 1 species